GAAUGACUUUGGCUGAUGAUGUCAACUUGGAAGAAUUUGUUAUGACCAAGGAUGAGUUUUCAGGAGCUGAUAUCAAGGCAAUAUGUACUGAAGCUGGAUUACUCGCUUUAAGAGAGCGGCGUAUGAAGGUGAUUACUUGUUUGUACGAGAGUAUAGAGGAUGAAUUUGAGUCUUUAUGCGAGGAGACAUAGGCAGGAGCAACUCUCAACAUGGUGGAGGAGCUUGUGGAAGAACAACGGUUGGAAGAAAGCUUGAACUCCUUGUUUCUGGAGAAGAGUAAUACUGAAGAAGUCAUGAUGCACUACCUAUCUGAAGCCAAAAAGGACGAGAUCAGUGAUUUGAUGGCUAUGUUAGAGAAGGCAGAAGAAUAGAAACGUGCCGUCACUUCUCUUCUUGAAGCCCCAAAGAAAGAAAGGCAUAGUGCUAUUGCAGAAUUUAGAGAGGCAAAUACCUGAGAAGCCUGCUUAGGCUGUUUGAUAAAGGCAAGUCUUUCUGGAAUAAACCUUGGACCAUGCACCCUUUUUUCCAUUGAUUCAAAGAAUUGAACCUUUGCCCUGUGCUCGAGUACAAUCUUUUGUGGAGUUACUAUGGUGAAAAGAAAGAUAUCAAGUGUCCAAGAUUUUUUUUUUAAAAAAACAAACAAAUAGUCAUCUCCGUGACAUCUACGAAGUAAUUGAUCGAUGAUAUUUGCAGUUCCAGCUUUCAUUGGUUCUGCUUCUGAUUUUGUCUAAGGUGCGAGUUAAAUUAAAUUCUGUGUCUGAACAUUUUUUGUACUGUUUUCUGAACGUGUUGCUGUAUAUUUCUCGCAUGUUCUCCCCGUGAUAAGAUCUUUGUAUUGAAGAGAUAAUUGGAUUUUCUGUUGUUUUCUAUCAGUUGUAAAGCAAAA